UACGAAGGGGGCUAGCGUUGCUCGGAAUCACUGGGCGUAAAGGGUGCGUAGGCGGGUUCUUAAGUCAGAGGUGAAAUCCUGGAGCUCAACUCCAGAACUGCCUUUGAUACUGAGAGUCUUGAGUAUGACAGAGGUGAGUGGAACUGCGAGUGUAGAGGUGAAAUUCGUAGAUAUUCGCAAGAACACCAGUGGCGAAGGCGGCUCACUGGGUCAUUACUGACGCUGAGGCACGAAAGCGUGGGGAGCAAACAGGG
rnacentral:rRNA from 1 species